AGAGUUUGAUCAUGGCUCAGGACGAACGCUGGCGGCGUGCUUCACACAUGCAAGUCGAACGGGAUCCAUCUGAUGGCAACAUCAGUGAAGAUCUAGUGGCGAACGGGUGCGUAACACGUGAGAAACCUACCCCGGACUCUGGAAUAACAGAUGGAAACACCUGCUAAUACCAGAUGCCUUCGCUCAGUCGCAUGGCCGAACGAAGAAAGGCUUGCCGGUUCGGGACGGUCUCGCGACCUAUCAGCUUGUUGGCGGGGUAACGGCCCACCAAGGCAUCGACGGGUAGCUGGUCUGAGAGGAUGAUCAGCCACACUGGGACUGAGACACGGCCCAGACUCCUACGGGAGGCAGCAGUGGGGAAUCUUGCCCAAUGGGCGAAAGCCUGAGGCAGCAACGCCGCGUGCGGGAAGAAGGCCCUCGGGUUGUAAACCGCUUUCAGCAGGAACGAAAAUGACGGUACCUGCAGAAGAAGGUGCGGCCAACUACGUGCCAGCAGCCGCGGUA
rnacentral:rRNA from 1 species